GUGCUUGCAUCAUGUCGGCAGCACAUAUAGUAAAGUUUAAUGAUACAGAGAAGAUUAGCCUGGCCCCUCUGCAAGAAUGACAUAUGAAAUUGUGAUGCUUUCCAUAUUUGU